rnacentral:rRNA from 1 species
GAUGAACGCUGGCGGCGUGCCUAAUACAUGCAAGUCGAGCGAACAGAUAAGGAGCUUGCUCCUUUGACGUUAGCGGCGGACGGGUGAGUAACACGUGGGUAACCUACCUAUAAGACUGGGAUAACUUCGGGAAACCGGAGCUAAUACCGGAUAACAUUUGGAACCGCAUGGUUCUAAAGUGAAAGAUGGUUUUGCUAUCACUUAUAGAUGGACCCGCGCCGUAUUAGCUAGUUGGUAAGGUAACGGCUUACCAAGGCGACGAUACGUAGCCGACCUGAGAGGGUGAUCGGCCACACUGGAACUGUGACACGGUCCAGACUCCUACGGGAGGCAGCAGUAGGGAAUCUUCCGCAAUGGGCGAAAGCCUGACGGAGCAACGCCGCGUGAGUGAUGAAGGGUUUCGGCUCGUAAAACUCUGUUAUUAGGGAAGAACAAACGUGUAAGUAACUGUGCACGUCUUGACGGUACCUAAUCAGAAAGCCACGGCUAACUACGUG